rnacentral:rRNA from 1 species
CGAGCACGCGCGUGUGGCAUAUCAAUAAGCGGAGGAAAAGAAACUAACUAGGAUUCCCUCAGUAACGGCGAGUGAAGCGGGAAGAGCUCAAAUUUGAAAUCUUCAAGGUUCUACCUUGACGAAUUGUAGUUUAAAGAAGUGUUUUCUGUUGGAGUUUUGGUAAAAGUUCUUUGGAAUAGGACAUCAUAGAGGGUGAGAAUCCCGUAUUUGACCAUUAUUUCCAACUUUGUGAUACACUUUCAAAGAGUCGGAUUGUUUGGGAAUGCAGUCCAAAAUGGGUGGUAAAUUUCAUCUAAAGCUAAAUACUGGCGAGAGACCGAUAGCGAACAAGUACCGUGAGGGAAAGAUGAAAAGAACUUUGAAAAGAGAGUUAAACAGUACGUGAAAUUGUCAAAAGGGAAGCGUUUGACACCAGUGUUGUUUUCUCGAAAAUCAAUUAAAAAUGGCCGGAUUUUGUGUUGUAUUGACUUUAUCAGCUUUCUGCACUUUUUUCUUGUCUUUUUUAAUGCACUUUUCGUUUAACAAGUCAACAUCAAUUUCUUUUGUUGUAAAAGGGUAUGAGGAAGGUGGCUUUCUUUUCGGAGAAAGUGUUUAUAGCCUUGUGCCUCUGCAAUCGGAGAGAUUGAGGUCUGCAGCGUAGAUCCUUCGGGGUUAGAUAGCAUUUGUGCUAAGUUAUAGCCUUUCAUAGACAACUUGUUGACUAUGAUUUAGUCAUUGUAGCUUACUCGCUGACUGCUAUUUUACCUACGCUUAGGAUGUUGAGCGCAUGUCUCUCUCU